UUUUCUUUCUCUUCCUCGAUUGAUCCAAAUUUCCUCUUCGUUUUCUUCUCCCUUACCUUUUCUUUCUCUUCUAAACAACUAAAAAUCCAUUGGUCAACUCAAUUUGCAGACAAUCAAUGACGGAGAUGAAGAGUUGCGUUGGUUGUUUUCACUUCCUCGAUUAGGUAUAGAAAGGAAUUGGGACAAACAAAUAAGGUCAAACAUGAUUUUUUUUUCCCUCCCUUAUCGGUAUCAUCCAACUCUCCUGAAAACCAAGACACCUGAUACCCAGGUAAAGUGCACGCCGUGUUAGCUGGUAUGCUAUAUGGAGGUAGCAAGGAAGCUUCUGCAUCUGUUAGCAAGGAUGCAGAAGUGAUGUUAAAUCUAGGUAGCAAGCCAUACUAUCUUGAGAAUUAUUUGUCAGAAUUGCAAUGGUGAAAACGUUUGUCAGAGUAACGCUUGGUUCGGUAGUUAGUGGAGUUUGUCUUAGCAUGUUCACCACUGCAUGUUACGGUGUACAGAAUUUGCUUGCUGAGAAGUGUUAUGUACAUGAUGCUUAUAAUAUGUGGCAGCUGCAGGUUCACCUACCGCUGCAUAUUCGGCUUAAUCAUGACAUGUCCCAUUUAGUAGCGCAUGAGAAAUAUGAUGUUGGGUUCUGUUUUAGUCACUGCAGCUGGAUUCUAAAUCCGCUUGCUAUUACAACUAAAUCCUAAAUUCAUUCACAAAGAAAAUGUUAGACAACUCACUUUUGCAUCGGUGUGUCGUAAUUUUGAGAAAAUGUAAAAUACAUGUAAAAAAAAACUAGCGGCUGCCGACGUGCAAAGCACGUGUUCUCCACUUGUUCUUGUAAUAGGAAUUACGCCCCUUGAUUUGUAUUUCAUUUGUGGGAUCCCUAGUGGAGUGGGAGAGCCGGAACCAUUCAACCAAGACGAAUGGAUAUCAAAUAGUAAAUGGGAGACGCUUUUUCCCUCGUUUAUGGAAUCAGAAAUACGUGAAGAUUAUAGAGAAUUGAAAGGAGGUGGGAUUAGAUGUUCAACGUUGAAGUCUUUCCUUACCCAAAGCAGAAACCUAGAAGAUAUAGAUGACUAUCCUGAACUCGAAAUAGUGUUUAUCUUAUGGGUACUGGGUCAGACAUUCUUUCCAAACUCAACUUUGGUUGCUCGUGUUGGUUGGCUUCAAGCGUUAGAAUAUAUUGGCAAAGCACCAGAUUAUGACUGGGGAUCCGCAAUUUUAGCAGAAUUGUACUGUGGGCUGGAUUAGGCGUCCAUGGGUAUGCCUAAUUUCACUGGUUUCUGGGACGUCAUAGAGUAUUGGUGGUAUACCUACUUCCGUGUUGGUAAACCAAUCCUUAAGGACGAUACCCAUAGAUUUCCAAUCUUGGACAUGUAUAUCUCGAGCAACUGGGCGAAGGACACUGCCAGCGACGUCUCAGCUUCCAGUUUUGUUCAGAGGUUUCAACAGAUGACUCGAAGCCAUAAGAAUGUUGUUUUUCACCCUUACAUUGAUGUUCCUCAGUAUUUUGAAAAUGAUGCAGAACGUGGUCUUGAUUAUUCUCUCCGUAGAGUUGUUUUUUACACUCCAGAUUUGGAUAAAGGGGCUUAGUACCUGGGAAAAAAACUGCAGUACCAAAUACAAGGUAUAUAUGAAAUUUCAAUUAACCUGCCACAACAGAUGCAAACCUCUGGAUCAGAUUUUGAUCGGCUCAGAAAAACCAAUUGGGAAAGGUAUGAACUAAAUACAAAGAGGGAUAUUGGUGAAGCUGAGUAUGUCACCUGGUACAAGUCGAUUGCGAAGCCUGUAAUUGGGACACACAACAUGCACAUAUAUGGGUUUGAUUUCCCAGGGCUAUCAAGCCUGUCCCAUGAUGCAAAUAUCGUUCCUAGUCAGCCACCUCCAAAAGAGCCAUGCUUUAUGACAUACCCCACCACGGGUGCAAGUUCUUUAUCAUCUUCGUCAAAUAUGCCCGAAAUUCGUUGGGAGAUGCCAAUUAUUACUUCACAAGGUGAGCCAACCACGAUCCCCAUUGUUUACCAAGCUAUGGAACGUGAUUAUCCUUACUACAAUGUGACUGCCAGUUACCGGGAGUUGUAGAUCCGACUGAACGAUUUGUAUUGGGUGAAUCGGCAAAUGGAGGCUAUACACUUGGGUUUGUGUCGGAAAUGGCACGAGACAAUGUUUGGAUUGAGUCCAACUAUAAAUGAUGAUGAGCGUUCACCGUCUACCAGGAGCAACAGAUCAUUGCACGAUAGUGAUAAUACAGUGGUGGGAGAAACACAAGUACGACAGAGUUCUUCACCACACGUACGGCACAAUACUUCACCGCAAACUGUGCAUGUAUCUCAACCCCAAGUAUUUCGGCUAGAUCCUAGGCGCAUUUCAUCAUCAUUCUCACCCUACAACCCAAAUGAUUGCUACAAUGUUAUACCACCACCACAACAACAACAAACAUCUUAUAUACUUGGAGGACCGAGUGCACUGAGUGCUUUCCAGCAACCGAGUUCUUUCCAAUCGCUUAGUGCUUUCCAAUCGCCUAAUGUUUUUCAACCAGUUUUAUCCCCUUAUGGAAAUUUAUUUAAUAUGUUGGCAAAUGGAGAUAUCCCAGGUUUUGGAGAAUCUUGACUCCAGAAGAUAACAAUGGGGGAGCUAGCGAUGAGCGACGUUAGAGAGAUUGUAAUUUUUAAUUCUGCUACAUUUGUAAUUCUAGUUUUAAAAGUACGGAAUUAAAUGAAAUUACAUAAAAUUAAGCGUUU